UACGUAGGGCGCAAGCGUUGUCCGGAAUCAUUGGGCGUAAAGAGCGUGUAGGCGGCCAGAAAAGUCCGCUGUGAAAACUCGAGGCUCAACUUCGAGCUGUCGGUGGAAACUUUCUGGCUAGAGUCCGGAAGAGGAGAAUGGAAUUCCUGGUGUAGCGGUGAAAUGCGCAGAUAUCAGGAAGAACACCCGUGGCGAAGGCGGUUCUCUGGGACGGUACUGACGCUGAGACGCGAAAGCGUGGGGAGCGAACAGG
rnacentral:rRNA from 1 species